GAUUUCUGGCUUGAAACAUUAAGCCGGCCACGGUUUCGUGUGUUAGUGCUUGCUGUUCUGGCCAUCCUUCCAAUUGCUAUUCACCCUUCUUCAUUGAUUGGUGAGUGGUAUUGGAUCUUUUACUUUGAAAAAAUUAGAGUGUUUCAAGCAGGCUUUAUGCUAUGAAUACAUUAGCAUGGAAUAAUAAUUUAGGACCUCGGUUCUAUUUUGUUGGUUUCUAGGACUGAAGUAAUGAUUGAUAGGGAUAGUUGGGGGUGCUAGUAUUCAGCGGCCAGAGGUGAAAUUCUCGGAUUCGCUGAAGACUAACUUAUGCGAAAGCAUU
rnacentral:rRNA from 1 species